AGGAACUCCUCAUGGAAUGGAAGCACAUCCAGGCUGAAGGCCCCUGUGUUCCAGGUGCUGUGUGAGUGCUGACCUGCCAGGCGACUCCACGAUGGCUUCCGUCCUCAGGUUCACCAUCAACUAAGACAGACUGAAGAUGUAAGUAGUAAUGGAAGGACACAAAAGGUACAAGAGUCAGAGGCCAGGCCAAGAGUGCGAGCUGAGCAAUGGGCAAGGAAGGCCUCCUUGAUGGCUAGCUCCAGAACUGGGACUGCAGAAAGAGGAAUUUUCUGGAUAGAAAGGGGUGUGGGCCUUCCAGUCAGGUUCAGAUCCACAGAAGCAUGCACAUGUGGUAUGCUGGGGCACCACUGCACCACCGGGGAGGGUCAUGCUGGAAAAGAGGCUGCAGGAUCUGGGACUCACUCUAUCCUGGGGCAAUGGGGAGUUUAGGAGAGGGUGAGUCAGAUCAGCGUGAAGUUAGCCUAGAGUCAGGAAGAUGAAUUAAGAGGUCUGACAGUCUAUUGAAGUAAAAUUAUUCAUUACAGAAUAGCACCAUGUAUGUUUCUAAAAUACUUGGUGCCAUAUUUAUUCUCCUGAGGUAUUCAUCUGAGCACUUAGAAAAGAAUAACUAGGCCAUUGAGUCUUGGUUGAAAUCUUGGAGGAGACUUCACUCACAUGCCAUGAGAAGUGCAAGGAAGAGGACCAGAUACCUAUAGAGCAUGUUA
rnacentral:lncRNA from 1 species